GAUGAAGAACGUAGCGAAAUGCGAUAAGUAAUGUGAAUUGCAGAUUUCAGUGAAUCAUCGAAUCUUUGAACGCACCUUGCGCCUUGUGGUAUUCCACAAGGCAUGCCCGUUUGAGUGUCAUUAAAUCAUCAACUUUUCACUUUUUUUGAGUUAGUUGGUCUUGAGGGUUUUGCGGGCUCUAGUCAGUCAGCUCCCUUUAAAUUCAUUAGCGAGACUUCCCUCUGCUGAACGUCUCCGGCGUGAUAAUUAUCUGCGUCGCUGCAACGUUCUCGUUGGGCUUGCUUCUAAUCGUCUUCGGACAACAGGAUUGAAGUGUGCAUAUUUGCGCCUCUUUUCAAAACAUUUUUGACCUCAGAUCGGGUAGGACUACCCGCUGAACUUAAGCAUAUCAAUAAGCGGAGGA
rnacentral:misc_RNA from 1 species